rnacentral:rRNA from 1 species
CGGGUCUAGUGGCGCACGGGUGCGUAACGCGUGGGAAUCUGCCCUUGGGUUCGGAAUAACAGUUAGAAAUGACUGCUAAUACCGGAUGAUGACUUCGGUCCAAAGAUUUAUCGCCCAGGGAUGAGCCCGCGUAGGAUUAGCUUGUUGGUGAGGUAAAAGCUCACCAAGGCGACGAUCCUUAGCUGGUCUGAGAGGAUGAUCAGCCACACUGGGACUGAGACACGGCCCAGACUCCUACGGGAGGCAGCAGUGGGGAAUAUUGGACAAUGGGCGAAAGCCUGAUCCAGCAAUGCCGCGUGAGUGAUGAAGGCCUUAGGGUUGUAAAGCUCUUUUACCCGGGAUGAUAAUGACAGUACCGGGAGAAUAAGCCCCGGCUAACUCCGUGCCAGCAGCCGCGGUAAUACGGAGGGGGCUAGCGUUGUUCGGAAUUACUGGGCGUAAAGCGCACGUAGGCGGCUUUGUAAGUUAGAGGUGAAAGCCCAGGGCUCAACCCUGGAAUUGCCUUUAAGACUGCAUCGCUUGAACAUCGGAGAGGUAAGUGGAAUUCCGAGUGUAGAGGUGAAAUUCGUAGAUAUACGGAAGAACACCAGUGGCGAAGGCGACUUACUGGACGAUUGUUGACGCUGAGGUGCGAAAGCGU